rnacentral:rRNA from 1 species
AGCAGCCGCGGUAAUUCCAGCUCCAAUAGCGUAUAUUAAAGUUGUUGCAGUUAAGCUCGUAGUUGAAUUUCGGGAUCAAUAUGCUGGUCGUGCCAUUGGUACGUACUAGUAUUAUUGGUUUCUUCCUUCUGAUGAAUCAUGAUGUCAUUAAGUUGAUGUCAUGGGGAAUCAGGACUGUUACUUUGAAAAAAUUAGAGUGUUUAAAGCAGGCUCGCGCUUGAAUACAUUAGCAUGGAAUAAUGAAAUAGGACGUUUGAUUCUAUUUUGUUGGUUUCUAGGAUUGACGUAAUGAUUAAUAGGGAUAGUUGGGGGCAUUAGUAUUCAAUUGUCAGAGGUGAAAUUCUUGGAUUUAUUGAAGACUAACUACUGCGAAAGCAUUUGCCAAGGAUGUUUUCAUUAAUCAAGAACGAAAAGUUAGGGGAUCGAAGACGAUCAGAUACCGUCGUAGUCUUAACCAUAAACUAUGCCGACUAGGGAUCGGAUGAUGUUAAUUUUUAAUUGUA